GAUGAAGAACGUAGCGAAAUGCGAUACUUGGUGUGAAUUGCAGAAUCCCGUGAACCAUCGAGUCUUUGAACGCAAGUUGCGCCCGAAGCCAUCAGGUUGAGGGCACGUCUGCCUGGGCGUCACAUAUCGUUGCCCAAUGCCUAUUGCAGUGCAAUAGGAAUUUCUAGGGCGAAUGAUGGCUUCCCGUGAGCGUUGUUGCCUCGCGGUUGGUUGAAAAUCGAGUCCUUGGUAGGGUGUGCCAUGGUAGAUGGUGGUCGAGUUAGAACGAUACCGAUCAUGUGCAUGCUCCCCAAAAUAUGGCCUCUAUGACCCACACACGUCUUUUGACGCUCAUGACGAGACCUCAGGUCAGGCGGGGCUACCCGCUGAAUUUAAGCAUAUCAAUAAGCGGAGGA
rnacentral:misc_RNA from 1 species